rnacentral:lncRNA from 1 species
UUUUUUUUUCUUUAAUUAAUUAAUUUAUUUGACAGGGAAGAGAGAGACCACAAGCAGGGGGAGCAGCAGCAGGGGGAGAGGGAGAAGCAGGCUCCCCCUGGAGCAGAGAAUCCAACGUGGGGCUCGAUCCCAAGACCCUGGGAUCAUGACCUGAGCCAAAGGCGAGUGCCUAACCAACUGAGCCACCCAGAAGCCCCAAUUCCAGAUUCUCUUGAAGAAUGAUCUACCUAAUGGGAUUUGCUGUAACUACCAUUCUUGAUUCCUAAGGCCAAGGAAGGCUGCCUGGAAGGAAGAGGUAAUUCUUAUUCCCUGAGAACAAUGAUUGGUACAGUCAUUUGAGCUCCUUGGCCAGAAAGUACUUUGGAAAUACUGAGUCCUUCAAAAUUUAUCUCUUAGUCAAACACAUGCUGUAAGAAGUGAUGUCCCCUUACUGUGAAAAACUGACUGCUGUCUUUCUACGGCUUUCCACAAAGCUCUAGACACAGUGUCCUGGGAAAUCAUUCCGCUGAACGAGAGGACAGUAUAGGGAAUUUAAAGGGAGAAAGACACAAAAAUAUACAGGGCUCAAGGCACUGCAGAGCUUGUCACUUUACAAAUGAGCUUCACAGAAGUUCCUUUUGGAUGCCAGGCACUUUCCUGCGUGGAUAUUAAUCAACAAAGCAAAACAGUGGAUGGGCCGAGAUGUAAACUCACUCCCACACGCAGGGAGGGAGCUAGCAUCCGAUGAAUGCGUGGACUAAGUCAGGCAGUGCCGUAGUUGCUGGGUUGGUUUUUGGUUUUCUGGUUUUUUUGGUUUUUACUUCGGUGACGUUUACACAACAUAACAUUCAGUAUCCAUUACCACCCCUCUCCAGAACUUUGCAUCAUCCCAAACCCAAGUUCCACAUCUGUUCAACAAGAAUGAGGCAGAAGGGCACCAUUACUGUGCACCUGAGAGACCCCAGCAAGGCCACAUAGGUAAGUGUCCGCAAGUCUAGGUCACUCCUAAAAGGCCGUUAUUGAACGUUGUCUAGAAGUUACAAAGCUUGCUUUGGGAACUAUUUUCAGAAACUUUUGUUAUCCUUUAAGGAGAUGAACUGAUGUUUUGAUUGACUUACCUGAGUCAGGUGCUGCCUGCAGCCCUUCAAUCUUCCACCGGGUGAGGCGUAUCACACUAUUUGCAGUUUGCAUGUUGAAUCUCACAUCUGUUCCACUUUCCUCCAGGGCAAGGACUCUGUCUCGUUCGUGUGGUACAUCUAGCAGCUGGUGGUGUGCAAGGCACGUGUGAACUGUUCCGUAUACAUGUGCGGAACGAAUGAGGACAAAAGUCAUACUACUCAGUUCUUACCAAAAGCUCACAUGCUAAGAAAAAAAAUUUUUUUUUCACCUUUUGGGAAAGAACUGCCUUUGGGAAAAUAAUAAAUCACCUUGUCAUAGGAGCAAGAGACCUUGAAGGCAAGAAGAGGAGAUGGUUAAGCUGCCUCAGUGUGACCAAACGAGGGAUUGGUGAAUUUUUUUCUCCCGAUGGGGAGGUCGGAGGGUGGGUCCAGUAAGGGAGAAAAGAGAGCAGCCAGUGAGCCGGUGAGAAAUGGGGGAACGCGCACAGUCGUGGUGGGUGGCUAAGGGAACUUUAAGAACAGGGACACCAGGCAGCUGGGGGGGCUCAGCAGUUGAGCGCCUGCCUUCAGCUCAGGGCAUGACCCCAGAGUCCUGGGAUUGAGUCUCACAUCGGGCUCCCCGGAUGGAGCCUGCUUCUCCCUCUGCCUGUGUCUCUGCCUCUCUCAUGAAUAAAUAAAUAAAAUCUUUUAAAAACAAUUAAAAUAAAUUAAAAGUUAAAAAAAAGAAAAAGGACAGGGGCGCCCAGACUUCACUCCGAAGCUGCAUUGCUAUGAUGUAAUAUGCCCUCCUGCUCUCUUCCUUCCCGUGUAUUGUCAGCGGCUAAAAUAAACAUCAACAGAGACCUUGGAGAGGGUUUGGGAUUUCCUCAGAAGCUCUGUGCCACCUUAUCUGGAUUUCUUGGGGAGACGACAGCCCCUUGGUAUCUGUGUCACAGAAACAAGACUUGCACUAGAUUGCUUCAAGAGUGCUCUACCCGUUCCAGACCAUGAAAUAAUUGUACCUUUGGUGGCUCCUGACCUCGGAGAGCCAUAGGCCAGGAUCCCUUUGUUCUACCUACUGCUACAAAUUAUUUUUAUUGAGUUGAAUUUGAAGGUGAGGUCAAAUUUUGUGUGACUGAAGGAGGUCACACAAAAGAAGCCACAGGAAGCCUCAUUACUGAAUUUACUGUAGGGGUACUUACUGCUGAGGGCUUGUGUGUCAUUAUCAGAUACUUAAAAAAAAAAAAAAGUUCCUCCUAGGGAAAACACAAAAAUGAUGGUGAAUCUUAUUUUUUUAAAGAUUUUGUUUAUUCAUGAGAGGCACACAGAGAGAGAGAGGCAGAGACAUAGGCAGAGGGAGAAGCAGGUUCCCUGCGGGGGGGCGGGGAACCCCAUCCCAGGACCCCGGGGUCACGGCCUGAGCCGAAGGCAGAUGCUCAACCGCUGAGCCCCCCAGGCGUCCCGAUGUCAAAUCUCAGAACUAAUUUUAUUUUCCCUUCUCUCCAGUCGUGAGAAGCUCCUGGCCAACUUUGGGACCCACCUGCAGGGACGGUGCAGAACUCACACACCCAGGCUGGUACCGUCCUUACCCCCGGCUUCCUGUUCUUACUCUCAUUUUCAGCUUGUACUGUUGCCUCAUUCAUUUCUGAAGGUGCUACCCAUCGUUUUGCGGAAGGCAGUGGAAGGAAAAUAAAUUAAUAUACUCUCCAAAUUAUAUUACCUAGUUCCCACCCCAGCAUGCACCUGGCCCUGAGAGAGUGGAGAGCAGGAGAUAAGCUAUCUUCCUCCAGCGGCCAGAUGGCAGGCUGGGCCCAUCCCUCUCCAUGCCUCCCUACAAGUACCCGCUGCCAUUUCUAGCAAAAUUAUUCAGGGGUCAGUUUUUUGGAUCAAAAUCUUGCGCACGCGCUCUCUCUCUCUCUCUCUCUCUUACACGCACACACAAACACCCUGCGCCUAUUAAGUGAUCAGAAACUCACUGCCUCCCAGCCACGCAAUCUAGAGACAGAACUCCCUUAGCUCUUCUCAGGAGUAAUAUGCUUCUUAUUUCCUUUAGGGCAGUUUCCUUAUAAAUCGUCUUUAUAUGACAGAAAUACCCCCCCCCCUUUACUUGUGUUACUCUAAUACAACGUUAUAUCUGGGAGGAAAAGAGCUUUAGUAAACGUGAAAUUGCAUGUGAAACGUCCCUGGGAUAAGUCAAGGCAAGUGAUAAUGGCACUAAAGAGCCCCUCGACCACGCUCUUCCUCAGCCACGCUGCUGCCCAGUUAGCCGCCGUUGCCAGGCUGAUGCCGGUCCUUCUAGAUUGUCGUCUGCGCUUUUGCAAAUCUACACACGUAUCCAUUACAAUCUACUUUUAUUAUGUGUGUCUCUGCGUUAAAUGCACGGUACGCUGUACAGUUACGCUGGCCUACAACUUGCUUUUUCUCACUUAGCCAUAUGUCUUAGAGCACAUUUCCUGCUCUGAGGGAAGAGCUAUGCUAACUUAUGCCAACAGCCUCUUGCAGCCGCUAGCUGCCGGCCUUCCAUCUUUACUCUUCGGUCACCUGCACUGCCAAAGACCUAAGCGGCAGGUCUCACAGGAAUUCAGAAAAUCUGAUCACACGAGGAGGACCACCUCAUAGGCUCCCGGGCUGGAAUAUGCUGCUGCACCUAUAAUGUGUCUCAGUCUCAAGUUCAUUGACUUUACAAUUUUUGACUGGCUGUCUACUGCCUACUGCUCCAGGCACUGGGGAUUCAUCCGUGGGCAAAAAGACAAUCUCUACCUUUCUCUGGUGCUUACAGAAGAUAAAAUAGUGAGUAAAAGAAAUAAUAUGUUGGGGUACCUGGGCGGUGCAGUCCAUUAAGUGUCUGACUCCCAGCUUUGGCUCAGGUCAUGAUCUUGGGGUUGUGGGAUCAAGCCCCACAUCAAGCUCUCUGCUCGGUGUGGAGUCUGCUUUGGAUUGUCUCCCACGCCCUCUGCCCUCCCUCCAUCACUCUUUCUCUCUCUCUCAAAUCAAUAAAUAAAUCUUAAAAAAAAAAAAAAAAAAAAAAAAAAAA